UUCUUUUUGUUUGAAGCAAAAUAUAAGAAAAUGUAUUUUGUUCGCUUUUUUCCACUUCCAUUCUAUUCUGAUAUAUUCUUCUCAUCCCCAUUCUCAAAGACUCUCUUCGCUCCAGCAGUCACACAUUCUCUAUUAAGUACUCUCUGAAAUUGAUUAGCUUUAAGUUUUCUCCUGCAUUGUUUCUCUUCCGAUUGUCUCUGCCAUCUCUCCUAUCAUCUUCAACAACUUUGAUUAUCUACCAUUUUGUAUCUUCUCUGGCACCAUUUGCUAUCCAGUAUGACCUUUUUCGACAUUGUGUUUGAAAUGAACAAGUUGCAGCAAAUGAUGGAGAUUUAAGUAAAUUUAAGAAGCUACAGGACAUAUCCUCAUGAUUCAGGGAGACGACAUCAAGCUUUGUUGAAUUUAACCAUAAUGAAAGUUCACACUUGCUGAAGCUGAUAUAAGAGAAACCUCUCGAGAAGGAAAACCAAAUGGCAGCGCAACUCUAAAGAAGAAUACUACUUCUAAGGAUCAUCAACCUUCUCAAGAUUUAUUGGUGUAGACGAACCAAAAGCAUGUAUAGGCACCAACAGUAGUUUGUUGGCUCAUUAUAUGCUUGUAUUUGUCUUAAACAUAAUUCUUGUGCAUAGAACCAAGACUGUAUGCCAGAUUCUACAAGCAAAAUGUAAACCAAGAUUUGAUAGUGAUGAAUUU